UUGGUCCAUGCCCAGUAGAGGGAAGUCAGCCCCAGAGAUGAUCACUUUUCUUAAGACACUUAUAUUUGUUUCCUAUCGUGGCUGUAAUGUUACCACAAAUUUAGUGGCUCGAACAACAUAAAUUUAUCAUCUAGCAUUUCUGGAGGUCAGAAGGGCUGGGGUCAGCAGGGCUGCAUUCCUUCUGGAGGCUGUCAGGAGAGAGUCUGCUUCCUUGGAGGCCACCUGCAUUCCUUGGCUCUUGGUCUCUUCUGCAACUGGGUCACCCCCAUCUCUGCCCUCACUGUCACAUCGCCUUGCCUGGCUCUGACCCCUGCCUCCCCCUCUUGUAAGGACUCUUGUGAGUACACUGGGUCCACCCAGAUAACUAAGGAUAACCUCCCCAUGUCAGAGUCCUUACCUUAGUCACACCUGUCUCUUUGGCAAUAGAAGCUAAAAGGGUUAAAGGUUCUGGGGACCACAACAUGGACACCUCUGGGGGUUAUUAUUCUAUCCACAUUUUCUACUUCCAAGAGAACAGAGGAAGACCACAGACGUAAAGUGCCAUUUUCGUCACAUGCACCAAGGGCAUGACCUAACACUGUUGACGUUAACUUGGUCACCUGGUUGACAGGUUUCUCCACUAUGAAAUCACUCUUCUUUGCUGACCCAUAGUUGAUCUCCCUGCAUUCGUGCCUGAGACGGGAGGAAACGCCAAAAUAGCAAAAACUCAUUCUCCUGUGGUCUUUCUGCAUUUUCUACAGAGAACAUUCCAGGUCUAAUGAUCCUCCCUGCCAACUCCAAGAAAGAAAGGAGAGAAAACAUAGGACUGGAGGCAGUAUUUGAAGAAAUAGUGGCUGAUAAUUUCCCACACCUGUUGAAAAGACAUCAAUCCACACAUUCAAAAAGCUCAUAAAUUCCAAAGUAGCACAUUGCCAGUGAUGGGACCGAGGGAGUGGUGUUCCUCCUCCCUAGUUCGCCCCUCUUUUGCCAGUGCCAGUCUCAGCUCCACUCCCUGCAGACACCUCCUUGCUGGGCUGCCCUUGGUGCCCGUCGGCGUCCAGCAUGCGCUGUCCUUUCUGCGUACUCAUUUGGCCCUUCCUCACCCCUCCCUUCCACCUCGGAGCAGGGAUCCUCCCCGGGCCCACACUGGAAGAGGCACUUUUUUUAUACCACCAUCACUUUGGCAUGAAGCAAAGGACUUCCCAGCCUGGAAGAGAAGUGAUUGUCUUCACUUACAAACGAAAACUAGUUCAUUAAAUGCCGAACACAGCUCUUCAGUUAGAUCCCAAGACUCAGUAGGGAAUACUGUGACGGGAGUGCCCGCCCCGCCGCAGGUGGAGCAGGUCCCGGGCGCCAGCACCGUGGACAGCGCCCGGCGCCUGCGGCGAA